rnacentral:lncRNA from 8 species
AUGCACCAAAACAGUACGCCUGGUACUAGUCAGCAUGCCUAUGAUGUUAUGCACCAAAACAGUACGCCUGGUACUAGUCAGCAUGCCUAUGAUGUUAUGCACCAAAACAGUACGCCUGGUACUAGUCAGCAUGCCUAUGAUGUUAUGCACCAAAACAGUACGCCUGGUACUAGUCAGCAUGCCUAUGAUGUUAUGCACCAAAACAGUACGCCUGGUACUAGUCAGCAUGCCUAUGAUGUUAUGCACCAAAACAGUACGCCUGGUACUAGUCAGCAUGCCUAUGAUGUUAUGCACCAAAACAGCACGCCUGGUACUAGUCAGCAUGCCUAUGAUGUUAUGCACCAAAACAGCACGCCUGGUACUAGUCAGCAUGCCUAUGAUGUUAUGCACCAAAACAGCACGCCUGGUACUAGUCAGCAUGCCUAUGAUGUUAUGCACCAAAACAGCACGCCUGGUACUAGUCAGCAUGCCUAUGAUGUUAUGCACCAAAACAGCACGCCUGGUACUAGUCAGCAUGCCUAUGAUGUUAUGCACCAAAACAGCACGCCUGGUACUAGUCAGCAUGCCUAUGAUGUUAUGCACCAAAACAGCACGCCUGGUACUAGUCAGCAUGCCUAUGAUGUUAUGCACCAAAACAGCACGCCUGGUACUAGUCAGCAUGCCUAUGAUGUUAUGCACCAAAACAGCACGCCUGGUACUAGUCAGCAUGCCUAUGAUGUUAUGCACCAAAACAGCACGCCUGGUACUAGUCAGCAUGCCUAUGAUGUUAUGCACCAAAACAGCACGCCUGGUACUAGUCAGCAUGCCUAUGAUGUUAUGCACCAAAACAGCACGCCUGGUACUAGUCAGCAUGCCUAUGAUGUUAUGCACCAAAACAGCACGCCUGGUACUAGUCAGCAUGCCUAUGAUGUUAUGCACCAAAACAGCACGCCUGGUACUAGUCAGCAUGCCUAUGAUGUUAUGCACCAAAACAGCACGCCUGGUACUAGUCAGCAUGCCUAUGAUGUUAUGCACCAAAACAGCACGCCUGGUACUAGUCAGCAUGCCUAUGAUGUUAUGCACCAAAACAGUACGCCUGGUACUAGUCAGCAUGCCUAUGAUGUUAUGCACCAAAACAGUACGCCUGGUACUAGUCAGCAUGCCUAUGAUGUUAUGCACCAAAACAGUACGCCUGGUACUAGUCAGCAUGCCUAUGAUGUUAUGCACCAAAACAGCAGUGGGGGGGUAGAUUCUCGGAGGGCCUAA